GCAAGUUGAGUCUUCUCAGCCAUCAAAGCAGUAUAGGCCGAUCCCACUUCACAAGUCUUCUGUCAAAGAGGCACGAAGGGAGGAUCAGCCAGAUUCAACAAGGAAAAAGUCCCGACAGAUAUGACAAAACAAUCAAAACUCAAGAUUCUUCAGACCCCUGCCGAUGCAAGCAAUCGACAGCGGUCUCGGGGACUACACCCAGUGGGUUCAGUAAGAGUGACCCCACUGGUAUGAAGGUCGAACAGGUCGGUCCCAUUGAGCUCCAUAGCAACCAACAACACUAUGAGACUACUAUUACUCAACCCAAGUAACACUACUCUCGGGGACUACAACCAGUGGGUGCACUCGGCGUGCCCCCACUGGUUCAGCUCUGAUCUGUAGAGAUUAUGUAAAAUACAUAUAAAGACAACUGCCGGUGCAAACACUCGGCAGAAAUCUCGGGGACUACACCCACUGGGUUCACUCGGAGUGAACCCACUGGAAAAUUAACCUACUGUAUCCGAGUAUCUCGCCAAAACCCCCAGUGGGCACCAAGAGGAAUGUAAACACUUACUAGCGCACUUACUCGGAUAUCAUCCCGAAGCUCCAAGCUCUUCUUGUACAGGGACGCAACGGAGUCAUAUGCUCCCUUGGCUUCGCCCACCAUGAGCUCCACUUGUACCAUGGCGUCCUUGGCGGCUCCUACUUGAUCUUCCGGGAGGCGUCGGGCAUCAUAGUGAACACUCAACGGACC
rnacentral:lncRNA from 1 species